rnacentral:rRNA from 1 species
UGGGGAAUAUUGGACAAUGGGCGAAAGCCUGAUCCAGCCAUGCCGCGUGUGUGAAGAAGGUCUUCGGAUUGUAAAGCACUUUAAGUUGGGAGGAAGGGCAGUAAGUUAAUACCUUGCUGUUUUGACGUUACCGACAGAAUAAGCACCGGCUAACUCUGUGCCAGCAGCCGCGGUAAUACAGAGGGUGCAAGCGUUAAUCGGAAUUACUGGGCGUAAAGCGCGCGUAGGUGGCUUGUUAAGUUGGAUGUGAAAGCCCCGGGCUCAACCUGGGAACUGCAUCCAAAACUGGCAAGCUAGAGUACGGUAGAGGGUGGUGGAAUUUCCUGUGUAGCGGUGAAAUGCGUAGAUAUAGGAAGGAACACCAGUGGCGAAGGCGACCACCUGGACUGAUACUGACACUGAGGUGCGAAAGCGCGGGGAGCAAACA